ACUGGGUGUGGUGGCGCAUGCCUGUAAUUCCAGUGGUUUGGGAGGCUGAGGCAGGAGGAUCACAAGUUCCAGGCCAGCCUCAGCAAUUUAGCAAAGCCACAAGCAACUUAGUGAGACCCUGUUUCAA
rnacentral:sRNA from 1 species